UUCCGUAGGUGAACCUGCGGAAGGAUCAUUCGCACAAAGAAAUGUUCUGUUCCACCCGCCACGCACCACACAGUGCUUUCUGUUUUAUGCUCAGGAAAUGUUUUCCGUCUCGUCGAUGUUGCGAUGUCAUUGCAAUGUAUGCGAUGUUAUCUAUCUCUUGCGACGACGAAUGCCUUGGCUCGAGGAUCGUUGAAGGACGCAGCGAACUGUGCUAAACAUCUCGAAUUGCAGAUUUCCGAGAAAGAAAAGGAUUCUGAACGCAUUCUGCGAGUUGACCUCGUGUCAGCUCACGUGAUUGGCGGUGACCGAAAUAUGCAGUCGCUCUAACUCUGAAGUUUGAGUGGUCUUCACAUGUUGUCGCAAGUUGUUGCGCCGACGUGUUCGUGUGAUUCAGCGCGUCUCUCGUUUUCGAGCAGCAUUAUGAUUUGUUUCAUGAUGUUCGAUUUCAUUGAAGCGUUUCGUUUUGGUUCCUCAAAACAUUUUUCUCGCACGCUCACGACCAGUCACGGGAUUACCCGCUGAAUUUAAGCAUAUCAAUAAGCGGAGGAAA
rnacentral:rRNA from 1 species